GUCGUUUCCAGGUAUGUUCACUAAGGGAAAAGGGAAGAGGCGUUUCUGGCAGUGAAUCUUGUUCCUGCUAAAAGGCUUAAACCAGUAGAAGUUGCUUUCCACCUUUUGCCAAAACAAUAUGAAAAAACCCCAAAAGAACAAGACCAACUAGUCCACUUGCAGGCAGGACUGGGCCGCAGGACUGUUUAUUUAGAUGAGAGCACAACACAUGAUGAGGUAAGCAGAUUCCAUAUGUAUAUUUGAAGAAUUCUGUUAAUUAGUCCUACCCGAUUCCUUUUUGAGAUGUGGCAACCAGGACUGGCAACCAUUUUAUUAUUAUUAUUAACCUUUAUUUUACCAAGUUGACUGACAUCCUUUUCUCAUUUGGAAAGAAAUCUGUUUGGAAGAAAGCUUCUUAGUAGUUACACAAACUACUAUAAAUUAUAUGAAGAAGUAGUCAUCGAGUUUAUAAUGGUCAGAUGUUUUAAUUCUGAUUUCUAAUAAGCUAAAAUGCAUCUAAUCAAGACUGAUGUUCUAGUACAAUCGUCCUUCAUUUCAACAGUUCUGCAUCCUUUCUAAGGAAACAAAAGUGUGGAGCAGCCAUUCCACUGCAGCUCCUGAUGGAACACUUGAAGUCUUGCAACAUCAUUGAUGUUGACAAUGAUGAAGACAACCUGGAUAAUAUGGAGGAUAACAGUGAACAAGCACCAGCUCAGGAGCCCUGUCCCAUCUGCAUGGAAAUGUUUACUGCUGACUUUAUUGAAGUACAUGCUGCUUCGUGUGGUGAAAGAGUGGCUCACGGUACAAGACCCUACCAAGGUCAUGUCUCUGUUUCGGGAAUCUAUUCUUAGCCAUCAUGAAAGUAAGAAUCCCUUACUUCUCAGCAUGGAUAUUAGAAAGAGCCCUGCUGAACAAGACGCUGCGCUCAUCUGCUUCUAUAAGAAGCCGAAAGUGGAAUGGGCACGACCCUUGAAUUGCAGACUUGAAGGUGAUGCAGCCAUUGGAGAGGGUGUGAGUCGCUUUUUCCUCUCAACUUGCAUGAACAAGCUGAAGUCUGGGUUUUGCUUCAACUUUGGUAUGUUGACUGUAGCUAUGUGUAAGCUGACUUGUCAUUAG
ensembl:lncRNA